rnacentral:rRNA from 1 species
UACGUAGGGGGCAAGCGUUCUCCGGAUUUACUGGGUGUAAAGGGAGCGUAGACGGCAUGGCAAGUCUGAUGUGAAAACCCGGGGCUCAACCUCGGGACUGCAUUGGAAACUGUCAAGCUAGAGUGCAGGAGAGGUAAGUGGAAUUCCUAGUGUAGCGGUGAAAUGCGUAGAUAUUAGGAGGAACACCAGUGGCGAAGGCGGCUUACUGGACUGUAACUGACGUUGAGGCUCGAAAGCGUGGGUAG